rnacentral:rRNA from 1 species
GACGACCGGCGAACGGGUGCGUAACGCGUAUAGAAUCUGCCUUGUACAGGAGGAUAGCCUUUAGAAAUGAAGAUUAAUACUCCAUAAUAUUGGGAAGUGGCAUCACUAUCUAAUUAAACAUUUAUGGGUACAAGAUGACUAUGCGUCCUAUUAGCUAGAUGGUAAGGUAACGGCUUACCAUGGCAACGAUAGGUAGGGGGUCUGAGAGGAUUAUCCCCCACACUGGUACUGAGACACGGACCAGACUCCUACGGGAGGCAGCAGUGAGGAAUAUUGGUCAAUGGAGGCAACUCUGAACCAGCCAUGCCGCGUGCAGGAAGACUGCCCUAUGGGUUGUAAACUGCUUUUAUACAGGAAGAAACAGUCGUACGUGUACGGCCUUGACGGUACUGUAAGAAUAAGCACCGGCUAACUCCGUGCCAGCAGCCGCGGUAAUACGGAGGGUGCAAGCGUUAUCCGGAAUCAUUGGGUUUAAAGGGUCCGCAGGCGGUCAAUUAAGUCAGAGGUGAAAUCCCAUAGCUUAACUAUGGAACUGCCUUUGAUACUGGUUGACUUGAGUUAUACGGAAGUAGAUAGAAUAAGUAGUGUAGCGGUGAAAUG